AAAGCUUGGCGAUACAGGGUGAUAGCCCCGUAACCGACGCUUCAUCGAGCGUGAAAUCGAGUAGGGCGGGACACGUGAUAUCCUGUCUGAAUAUGGGGGGACCAUCCUCCAAGGCUAAAUACUCCUGACUGACCGAUAGUGAACCAGUACCGUGAGGGAAAGGCGAAAAGAACCCCUGUGAGGGGAGUGAAAUAGAACCUGAAACCGUGUACGUACAAGCAGUAGGAGCACCUUCGUGGUGUGACUGCGUACCUUUUGUAUAAUGGGUCAGCGACUUAUAUUCAGUGGCAAGGUUAACCGUAUAGGGGAGCCGUAGCGAAAGCGAGUCUUAACUGGGCGCUCAGUCUCUGGAUAUAGACCCGAAACCGGGUGAUCUAGCCAUGGGCAGGUUGAAGGUUGAGUAACAUCAACUGGAGGACCGAACCGACUAAUGUUGAAAAAUUAGCGGAUGACUUGUGGCUAGGGGUGAAAGGCCAAUCAAACUCGGAGAUAGCUGGUUCUCCCCGAAAGCUAUUUAGGUAGCGCCUCGGACGAAUACUACUGGGGGUAGAGCACUGUUAAGGCUAGGGGGUCAUCCCGACUUACCAACCCUUUGCAAACUCCGAAUACCAGUAAGUACUAUCCGGGAGACACACGGCGGGUGCUAACGUCCGUCGUGGAGAGGGAAACAACCCAGACCGCCAGCUAAGGUCCCAAAGUAUUGCUAAGUGGGAAACGAUGUGGGAAGGCUCAGACAGCUAGGAUGUUGGCUUAGAAGCAGCCAUCAUUUAAAGAAAGCGUAAUAGCUCACUAGUCGAGUCGGCCUGCGCGGAAGAUGUAACGGGGCUAAGCAAUACACCGAAGCUGCGGCAAUAUCUUUUAGAUAUUGGGUAGGGGAGCGUUCUGUAAGCCGUUGAAGGUGAAUCGUAAGGUUUGCUGGAGGUAUCAGAAGUGCGAAUGCUGACAUGAGUAACGACAAAGGGGGUGAAAAACCUCCUCGCCGGAAGACCAAGGGUUCCUGUCCAACGUUAAUCGGGGCAGGGUGAGUCGACCCCUAAGGUGAGGCCGAAAGGCGUAAUCGAUGGGAAACGGGUUAAUAUUCCCGUACUUCUGACUAUUGCGAUGGGGGGACGGAGAAGGCUAGGUGGGCCAGGCGACGGUUGUCCUGGUUCAAGUGCGUAGGCUUGAGAGUUAGGUAAAUCCGGCUCUCUCUAAGGCUGAGACACGACGUCGAGCUGCUACGGCAGUGAAGUCAUUGAUGCCAUGCUUCCAGGAAAAGCCUCUAAGCUUCAGAUAGUCAGGAAUCGUACCCCAAACCGACACAGGUGGUCGGGUAGAGAAUACCAAGGCGCUUGAGAGAACUCGGGUGAAGGAACUAGGCAAAAUGGUACCGUAACUUCGGGAGAAGGUACGCUCUUGAUGGUGAAGUCCCUCGCGGAUGGAGCUGACGAGAGUCGCAGAUACCAGGUGGCUGCAACUGUUUAUUAAAAACACAGCACUGUGCAAAAUCGCAAGAUGACGUAUACGGUGUGACGCCUGCCCGGUGCCGGAAGGUUAAUUGAUGGGGUUAGCGCAAGCGAAGCUCUUGAUCGAAGCCCCGGUAAACGGCGGCCGUAACUAUAACGGUCCUAAGGUAGCGAAAUUCCUUGUCGGGUAAGUUCCGACCUGCACGAAUGGCGUAAUGAUGGCCACGCUGUCUCCACCCGAGACUCAGUGAAAUUGAAAUCGCUGUGAAGAUGCAGUGUACCCGCGGCUAGACGGAAAGACCCCGUGAACCUUUACUACAGCUUGGCACUGAACAUUGAACCUACAUGUGUAGGAUAGG
rnacentral:rRNA from 1 species